UGUCAUAUGAUGAGAGAAAAAAACUGCAACAAAAUGAUCGAAUUUAUUCGUGAUUACUAUAGUAUUUAAGUCUGAUGAUU